UAGAGUUUGAUCCUGGCUCAGAACGAACGCUGGCGGCAGGCCUAACACAUGCAAGUCGAGCGCACCUUCGGGUGAGCGGCGGACGGGUGAGUAUCGCGUGGGAACGUGCCCUUCUCUACGGAAUAGUCCUGGGAAACUGGGGGUAAUACCGUAUACGCCCUUUUGGGGAAAGAUUUAUCGGAGAAGGAUCGGCCCGCGUUGGAUUAGGUAG
rnacentral:rRNA from 1 species